rnacentral:rRNA from 1 species
GAUGAACGCUGGCGGCGUGCCUAAUACAUGCCAGUCGAGCGAACGGACGAGAAGCUUGCUUCCCUGAUGUUAGCGGCGGACGGGUGAGUAACACGUGGAUAACCUACCUAUAAGACUGGGAUAACUUCGGGAAACCGGAGCUAAUACCGGAUAAUAUUUUGAACCGCAUGGUUCAAAAGUGAAAGACGGUCUUGCUGUCACUUAUAGAUGGAUCCGCGCUGCAUUAGCUAGUUGGUAAGGUAACGGCUUACCAAGGCAACGAUGCAUAGCCGACCUGAGAGGGUGAUCGGCCACACUGGAACUGAGACACGGUCCAGACUCCUACGGGAGGCAGCAGUAGGGAAUCUUCCGCAAUGGGCGAAAGCCUGACGGAGCAACGCCGCGUGAGUGAUGAAGGUCUUCGGAUCGUAAAACUCUGUUAUUAGGGAAGAACAUAUGUGUAAGUAACUGUGCACAUCUUGACGGUACCUAAUCAGAAAGCCACGGCUAACUACGUG